AACCAUAGAAACCUGCGGAGUACCUGCGGAAGGAUCAUUAAAGAAACAAAUAUCAGGCCAGAGAAUGCUGGCUUGCAAACAACAAGAAUACCCAAAGAGUGAAGAACUGCCCUGUUGGUGCUCUUUUUUGGGCCCAGGGGGCAGUGGCAAAUAAGAGUGGCUGAUACAAGAGAGAAAGAGAGGGAGAAUGGAUAAAGAAACAACUUUUAGCAACGGAUCU
rnacentral:misc_RNA from 1 species